CAUCACAAGUAACUCUAACUUAUUAAUAUCUUUUUAGGCAAUGGAUGAAAAGAAAUAUAUUUAGAGUCACUAACAACAUAAGAUAGAUUUAAGUGUAUUCAGUUGGUGGCUACUAAAAACAUUAUUAGAGGGAUUCGAAUGCUGGAUUCUUACUUCUCCACAUAUAUAGUGCGUGGAUCUAAUUCCUAGACUAUAGAGAGAAAAAAAACCAAAUUUAUAUUUGUAAAUUAAUUGAUAUAUGCAUGUACAGGACUGCAAAAGAGCAAUCUCCCGUCACAUUUGCAAUUGCCGCAGAAGAGACCGAAUGAAUAUGUUCAUGUCUCAGAAUGCCCUGUCUUUGUUAUAUCUAGUUCUUACGAGGGUAUCUCAGCGAAGGACGUGUGGCAUGAAAUUAAACAGGUGUGGGUAAAGGGAAGGUUGAUGGUUCAGGUGUUGGUAUUGAUGUGGCUUGAUGCAGAAUCAGGUCAACUUUUCGAUCCCAAAUUUGGAAAUGAAAACUAUGAUCAAGAGGUUCAAUGGUGAUUUGGAAACCAAAAUCUCAUGAAACUGUUGGUGGAGGACUGUAACUGAAGUUAAAAGUAUCCUGGUGGGUAAUGUGGCUUCAUGCCAAAUUAGAGCAACUUUCUAUCCCAAAUUUGAAAAUGAAAAGUCAGAUCAAGAGGUAUAUUUUUUUUCUUCGUAAUAAUUGUUUGAGUCUCAACCUUAUAAGAUAUUAGACAAUCAAACACAAUUUUUUCAAGAACAUUCAAAAGAAAUUGAUAUGCUCUGUGCCGAGACCCUGAGGUUGAAAGAUAAACUUCCUUUGCUAUGGUCAGUUUUUUAUUUUCAUUCCACAUAUUUGCAUUGAUGCAUAUUCAGAUACUCAUUAUUGAUUAUUCACCAACAUUUAAUCUUCUGCUUGAUAAAAACAAAAUAACCUUACUAAUUGAGCAAAAGGUGUUUUGUGUCCUAAGACCCUGUUUGGUACCAAUAUUAUUAUGAAUUUUUAUUUAUAAUAAUGCAUGAAUUGAUAUAUAUUAUGCUUUGAUGACCCUU